AGGUGGAAGCCAUUCUCGUCAAUAUCUUUGGUGGGAUCGUCAACUGUGCCAUCAUUGCCAAUGGAAUCACCAAAGCCUGCCGGGAGCUAGAGCUCAAGGUGCCACUGGUAGUCCGGCUUGAAGGAACUAAUGUCCAGGAGGCUCAGAAUAUCCUCAAAAGCAGCGGACUCCCCAUUACAUCAGCUGUGGAUCUAGAGGAUGCAGCCAAGAAAGCUGUUGCCAGUGUGACAAAGAAGUGAUGGUUCCCCUGGCUCCCAUGAAGACGGGCAUGUCCCUCACUGGGAAAGCAAUUGUUUUCUCACUGGGAAGGGGACACACACAAGGAUCAUCAUGUGAAACAUAUUAAGCCUGAACUUUCUCAAAUACGCUAUCCAGAGUGCCUAAAACUGAUUUUAUACUGUAGUCAUUUGUUUUUUUAAAAAAAAAAAAUCACUCCUUACAAUUUCACACCCUCUCUUGCCCAUUCAGUAGCAGGGUCUUCUAGCUCUGGGCCACAGUCAGUGUGGCCAAGUAGUGUGCAUAGGUACAGUAUGUAAAGCCAGAUCUAGGUUCAUUCUCAAGGACAUUUAUUCUAUAAUAGAAAAUUUUACAGGACUCACAAGUUCAGACAGGAUUGUAUUUAACAUAGUGACUUUCAGAAGGGUACAGCUAAGACACCUGAGCUUCUAUGAACAGUGGUCUCCACUGGCUCCUAAUUCCAGUACAUUUAGAAAGCCCAUGAACGUUCUAAAGUGUGGCUUAUAUUGGCCAUCCCGUGUUAAUAUGUGUACAUUGCACACAUUUUACCCUGUGCCUUAAUGUUAAAUCCACUGUCUGCCUCACACUGAGUUACAGCCAGAAGCCUUAGUCACGGGUUUGAAGUGGAAGGUUUCAUUUUGUGUCAGACUUUCUGAAUGCCGAUUUUUAUGAAACUGUGUAAUUAAGCCAUUUUGUGAAGGCACGCUGACAAUCGACCUGUUGGCGGUGGUCAGACUUUCACUUGUUCCCCCCCCCACCUCACAUCUACCAGUUUGUCACAGAAAGAUGAGAGAUGUCAUCGGACAGAAUGUGGCCUUCCUAAUGAUGUCCUUUUUUGUGAUGGGAAUUUUCUUAACUUGAUUUUUUUGUUUAAUUUUGAUAAAUUUAUAGUCAUACACAUUUUAAAUAAAAUUGUUUUUCAGUGCUACUUA